AUAUCUCUCCGUACGGGAAGGAUGAGAAGCUUCGACUAAGGUUCGAUUCGAGCGCAGCGAGAACGCGUUGCCGCAGGCAACGACCCGAAGGGCGAAGCGCGCAGCGCUGAGUCAUCCU
rnacentral:sRNA from 2 species